AGCUUUGUGCAGUGGCAGUACCGUAGCCAAUGAGGUUUAUCCGAGGCGCGAUUAUUGCUAAUUGAAAGCAGUAUAUAGGUGUGCUUCAUAUAAUUCUUAUUCUUGCAACUUUCCCCCCAAG
ensembl:snRNA U4 U4 spliceosomal RNA